UUUUGGAAGUAUUUAUUUGCUGGAGUUAUUGACUCCCGGAAAAGAAAAAAUAUCAGUGGACAGAACAGGAUCACUUGAGGUCAGGAGUUCGAGACCAGCCUGGCCAAAAUGGUGAAACCCCAUCUCUACCAAAAAAGACAAAAAUUAGCUGGGCAUGGUGGUGUGUGCCUGUAGUCCCAGCUACUCAGGAGGCUGAGGUGGGAGGAUCACUUGAACCCAGGAGGUGGAAGUUGUAGUGAGCUGAGAUCCGGGCCACUGCACUGGAGCCUGGGAGACAGAGUGAGACCCUGUCUCAAAAAUAAAAAGAAAGGUGGAACACAAUGGCUCACCACUGUAAUCCCAGUGACCCAGGAGAAGACUCAUUUGAGGCCAGGAGUUUGAUACCAGCCUGGAGAAAUAGUGAGACACCCUAUCUAAAAAAAAAAACAAAAACAAAAAACAAAACAAAACAAAAAUAACUAGCUGGGCAUGAUGGCAUGAGCUUGUAGUCCCAGCUACUCAGGAAACUGAGGCAGGAGGAUUACUUAAGCCCAGGAGCUCCAGGCUGCAGUGAGCUAUAAUUGUGCCACUGCAUUCCAGUCUGGAUAACAGAGAGAGACCCGGUUUCGAAGGAGAGAGAGAAAGAGAAAGAGAAAGGGGUCUCACUUAGCCACUCAGUCCGAAUUCCCAGUAGUAGACUAUUUAGAGUAUACCAUUUUAGACCUUUUUCUUACGAUCAUAUGGGCUCAUACAUUUAUACAUGCACAUAUGUAUUCACUUAUGUGUAUAUCUUUUAUGUAAAAAAGUAUUGUAACUAGAUUUUGUUUUUUCAACUUGCUUUUUUUUCGGUAAAAGAUACAUUUUUCACACACAUCUUCUUAUUUUUAUUGGCUACAAGUAAUCCAUUAUAUUGAUUCAACAAAAUUAUUUUACCAGACUUGGAUACAGAGGUAUUUUCCAAUAUUUUACUGUUACAUAAAAAUGUCGUAGAAUGUGGUAGGGGGCCCUUUGCACAGACAUCGUAUAGCCCCAGCUGAAAGUCUUUUCAGGACUUAUUCUUAGAAAUAGAGUUUAUCAGUUAUUGGAUUUGAGCAUUUAGAGUUUUGAGAAAUACAGUCAAAUUGCCCUCUGAAAUGACUGGGCCAAUUUACUCUCCUAUCAAUAGUAUAUGAUAACACCUGUCUCCAUACACUCACUGCAGAACAGCUAUGUUGUUUUGGACAAAAAAAAAAAAAUGACACAACAUAUUUCGAUAAAACUGCAUUUAAUUUAAAUUUUUUUCUUUAAAUAUAAAAGAAUAGGUAUACUAUAUUUUUCUAUACUAUGGAGUAUAAAACGUUAUUGACGUUAAGUUAAACGAAAAAUUACAAAUAUAACAUGCUUAUUGUAAAAAAAAAUCAGGCAUAUGAAACUGAUAGUUAAAAAGGAAAGGUGGAGGUGGGGUGCAGUGGCUCAUGCUUAUACCUGCAGCGCUCUGGGAGGUAUCAUUAUUGUUAAGAGUUGGAUUUGUUAAUUGAACCUGGGAUUGUGUUUUGGCCAUUUGGAUUUCUAGUUCAGGGAAUUUCUGAAUUGUAUUCUUUUUUUUUUUUUUUCAGUAGAUUCUUUUUGUUCCUUCUAAGUUCUAGAAACUGUAUGAAGUGUGACUUUUUCUUUUUCGUACAUCAUAUAGGUAACAGAUAAUUUUUCCUAAUGUAUCGCUUGCCCUUUAAAUUUGUUUAUAAAAUCUUUGUAACUCAGUAGAGAAAUGCCUCUUAACCAUAUUCUUGAGUGUCAACGUAAUUUUACAGGGAUAUUAAAAAAGUGUCAAUAGGCAUUUAUAGAUAGUGUUAGAGAACAGAAGAUUUGUGACUAUAUUAUUAUUAAAAGAUAAAUAAGAUCAGAUUCAUAGUUACU
rnacentral:lncRNA from 10 species